GAGGGGUAUAGGUUUUCGGACCUAGAGACCGGCGCACGGGUGCGUAACGCGUAUGCAAUCUACCUUUUACAGAGGGAUAGCCCAGAGAAAUUUGGAUUAAUACCUCAUAGUAUUAUUGAAUGGCAUCAUUUAAUAAUUAAAGUUCCAACGGUAAAAGAUGAGCAUGCGUCCCAUUAGCUAGAUGGUAAGGUAACGGCUUACCAUGGCGACGAUGGGUAGGGGUCCUGAGAGGGAGAUCCCCCACACUGGUACUGAGACACGGACCAGACUCCUACGGGAGGCAGCAGUGAGGAAUAUUGGUCAAUGGGCGCAAGCCUGAACCAGCCAUGCCGCGUGCAGGAUGACGGUCCUAUGGAUUGUAAACUGCUUUUGUACAGGAAGAAACAGUUCUACGUGUAGAACCUUGACGGUACUGUAAGAAUAAGGAUCGGCUAACUCCGUG
rnacentral:rRNA from 1 species